rnacentral:lncRNA from 1 species
AUAUGUGUGUCCUUGAUCCAGAUGGUUAUUCCUUCUUCAUCAUCAUCAUCAUCAUCCACCUUCCCCCAAAACAAACCCAUCUCCACCUGAGUCAUCCAUCCACUGACGCCCGCAGAGGACAGAUGUAGGAUAACUUCAUGUUGCGUCUGUAUCUUCCUCCCAGCAUGGGUGUCAAACCCCUGUCAUGUUAAAGCUGGUGAGGUUCGACUUCACACCGUUACUCAAGGAUUCUUUAAAUGGAGAGCAGACUUUCAUCUUUGCAAACUGGCGUGAGAGUGAGAACACACCGUCCCUUGAGUGAAAGGAAGCUCUUACAAGGUGA